AUCCUAUGUACUCAAGAAUGCAAACUGUAAAUCAAUACCUAUGACUUAAAGGUGACAUUUCAACAAUUGUACAUCCUGGAGCCUCUCAGGAUCUCAGGAUCAUUUUGUUCCUGUCAAAUAUCUAACUUUUUAAAUAAUUUAUGAGCAUUUAACUCCACUUCUUACAAUUCCAGGAUGAACUUUCUUCAUUUUAGAUGUGUAUGUUGUCAUUCAAAGAGCCAGUUAUUUAUUCAUUAAAUAUUAUUGAACAAGUACUAUGUGCCAGGCACUAACUAUAUUGUGCAGUGUGGAUAUAAUAGUGGAAAAGGCAGUCACAACCUAGACCUGAAGCUUACAUGGGGAGGAAGAGAGAAUAAACAUCAACUUAGGGGUUGUACCGAUAGUUGUUCUUUUUUUUGUUUGUCUGAGACAGGGUUUCACUCUGUCACCCAGAUUGUAGUGCAGUGGUGUGAUCUCUGCUCACUGCAACCUCUGCUUCUUGGGCUCGAGUGAUUCUCCAGCCUCAGCCUCCCAAGUAGCUGGGACUACAGGUGUGUGCCACCAACGCUCAGCUAAUUUUUGUAGAGACAGGGUUUUACCAUGUUGCCCAGGCUGGUCUCGAACUCCUGAGCUCAAAGCAAUCGGUCCGCCUCAGCCUCGCAAAGUGCCGGGAUUACAGGUGUGAGCCUGUGCCAGACCUAAUUGUUAAAUUGUAAUUGUAAUGAUUGUUAAAAAUAAAAAGAAUUGGACAGCGUAGGCUUCUUAUGUGAACAUUUACCAAGAAGGCAUGAUCUUGUCUUAGAUGAAUGGAGUCAGAAUAGAGAUCAAGGAGUGCUUCCUGGAGGAAGAAGCUUUUGAGUUGGGCUUUAAGUGUGAACAAAAAUGUAUUUGGAGGGUGCUAAUAUUUAAGAUGCCAUGAGAAAACCCCACAUUGAGGAAAGCAGAGAUACAGUCUGAUGAAACUAGCAAGGUCUGUAAUAAGCAGGGCUGUGUUAAGAAUUUUGGCUUGAUCAAUAAAUAAAAUCAGUGGGGAAGCUAUUAAGGAAUUUGCACUAUGCAGGGAUAUGACCGUCUGGUUACAGUGUGUAGAAUAGACAGGAAAGUAUGGGUACAAGCAGUGGGGAGACCAGAUUGAAGACAAUAAUAAUAAACAAGUGUUCCUAUUAAUUUCCAAGGAGAGACGUGCUCUGAAGUCCAUAGACUAUCAAGAUAGAGCUAAUUUGGGACUUAGAUAGUCCUACUGUGAAGAAUUAGCAAAUACAUGGCACUGCUUUGUGGACAAAAAUCAGAAAUCUAACAGGUUUAGCAGAAAAAGUGAAAGAAGAGUGAGAAGAAGAGGAUAUAAGAAUAAACAGACCCAAGAAGAUGGCCUCAGAAGACAAACACCUGGGAUAAGCUAUGUGCCAGUUUUUCUUUUUAAUUUUUAUUUAGAUUUAGCAAUUAAUAAGAGCUCAUUCUGCCUCAAAAGUGCACCAAGGGCUUUAUAUUUAUCACAGAACUGGAGGUUUAGGGAGGUAGAGUAACUUACUCAGGGUUACAAAAUCUGUAGGUGGCAGAGACAAAACUUGAACCAAGGGCUUUCUAGUGUGAAAUGUUGACUCCUCACACUACAUGAUGGUCCUCUUUAAUGGUUACCUCCUGCCCUUGGAGUUCUCCAUUACUCCAAGCCCAUUAUGUUUGGAACGAUUCUGAGUUCUUCUAUACUUCACCAUGGAUACAUGAACCUUAGCCCUAAUGGAGCCUUAGAAAUUGGCCGGGCGCGGUGGCUCACGCCUGUAAUCCCAGCACUUUGGGAGGCCGAGGCGGGCGGAUCACUUGAGGUCAGGAGAUCGAGAUCAUCCUGGCUAAUGCAGUGAAACCCCUUCUCUGCUAAAAAUACAAAAAAUUAGCCAGGUGUGGUGGUGGGCGCCUGUAGUCCCAGCUACUCAGGAGGCUGAGGCAGGAGAAUGGCAUAAACCCGGAAGGCCGAGCUUGCAGUGAGCCGAGAUCCAGCCAACAGUGCGAGACUCCAUCUCAAAAAAAAAAAGAAAAAGAAAAAGAAAAAAAGAAAAG
rnacentral:lncRNA from 1 species